rnacentral:rRNA from 1 species
ACGAACGCUGGCGGCGUGCUUAACACAUGCAAGUCGAACGGUGAAGCGCCUUCCUUUUUGGUGGGUGUGGAUGAGUGGCGAACGGGUGAGUAACACGUGAGUAACCUGCCCCCUUCUUCUGGAUAACCGCAUGAAAGUGUGGCUAAUACGGGAUAUUCUGGGUCUGUCGCAUGAUGGGUCUGGGAAAGAUAUUGUUUCGGUGGGGGAUGGGCUCGCGGCCUAUCAGCUUGUUGGUGGGGUGAUGGCCUACCAAGGCGGUGACGGGUAGCCGGCCUGAGAGGGUGGACGGUCACACUGGGACUGAGACACGGCCCAGACUCCUACGGGAGGCAGCAGUGGGGAAUAUUGCACAAUGGGCGCAAGCCUGAUGCAGCGACGCCGCGUGAGGGAUGGAGGCCUUCGGGUUGCGAACCUCUUUCGCCAGUGAAGCAGGCCUGCCUCGUUUGUGGGUGGGUUGACGGUAGCUGGAUAAGAAGCGCCGGCUAACUACGUG